GAUGAACGCUGGCGGCGUGCCUAAUACAUGCAAGUCGAGCGAACGGACGAGAAGCUUGCUUCUCUGAUGUUAGCGGCGGACGGGUGAGUAACAUAUGGAUAACCUACCUAUAAGACUGGGAUAACUUCGGGAAACCGGAGCCAAUACCGGAUAAUAUUUUGAACCGCAUGGUUGAAAAGUGAAAGACGGUCUUGCUGUCACUUAUAGAUGGAUCCGCGCUGCAUUGGCUAGUUGGUAAGGUAACGGCUUACCAAGGCAACGAUGCAUAGCCGACCUGAGAGGGUGGUCGCCCACCCUGGAACUGAGCCGCCGUCCUGGCUCCUACGGGAGGCAGCAGUAGGGAAUCUUCCGCAAUGGGCGGAAGCCUGCCGGAGCAGCGCCACGUGAGUGAUGAAGGUCUUCGGUUCGUAAAACUCUCUUAUUGGGGAAGAACAUAUGUGUAAGGAACUGUGCACAUCUUGACGGUACCUACUCAGAAAGCCCCGGCUAACUACGUG
rnacentral:rRNA from 1 species